GCGCGGCGAACCCCGGUUCAGCACCCCAGACCUGUCCUCGGACCACAUCCCGCCGUAGCCCCCGCCAAUCCCGUCCAGGCUCAGCCGGGAUCGACCGACGCCGACGUCUCCCAUCGAGGUCCUGCGGCUUCCCGGGUCAAACGAGGUCCUGCGGCUGGCGAGCGGGCUGCCGCCUUCGCCGUCGAAGCUCCAGAGACCGCCGGUUGAACUGAGGCUACCGCCGUUGGCCAAGCCGUUGCUGCUGCCGUUGCCAUUGAUGGGAUAGCCACC
rnacentral:lncRNA from 1 species